GAUGAACGCUGGCGGCGUGCCUAAUACAUGCAAGUCGAGCGAACGGACGAGAAGCUUGCUUCUCUGAUGUUAGCGGCGGACGGGUGAGUAACACGUGGAUAACCUACCUAUAAGACUGGGAUAACUUCGGGAAACCGGAGCUAAUACCGGAUAAUAGUUUUAACCGCAUGGUUCAAAAGUGAAAGACGGUCUUGCUGUCACUUAUAGAUGGAUCCGCGCUGCAUUAGCUAGUUGGUAAGGUAACGGCUUACCAAGGCAACGAUGCAUAGCCGACCUGAGAGGGUGAUCCGCCACACUGGAACUGAGACACGGUCCCGACUCCUACGGGAGGCAGCAGUAGGGAAUCUUCCGCAAUGGGCGAAAGCCUGACGGAGCAACGCCGCGUGAGUGAUGAAGGUCUUCGGAUCGUAAAACUCUGCUAUUAGGGAAGAACAUAUGUGUAAGUAACUGUGCACAUCUUGACGGUACCUAAUCAGAAAGCCACGGCUAACUACGUG
rnacentral:rRNA from 1 species